CUAGUAUUUAAUUUUUACUUUAAUAAUUAAGUGUAUAUGUGUGUGUAAAUACAUACAUAUGUAUAAUAAUUGAAAUAAAAUGGAUUUUACUGUAGCGAUAUACUUUAAGAAGGGGGCUUAUAUAUAUUUUUCCACCUCCUAUCUUUUGGAAAAUUUCUUUCAAGCCCUCCCCAUCCUUUUUCUUCCCCGACGUCACACUCCUCCUCCUCCUCCUCCUCCCUACCUCCAUUUCCGCUGCCUGCACCUCUAACAACCCACCAUUUUUUUUUUCUUUUUCUCUCUUCUCGCUAGCAUCGUCUUCCUCUUCUCAUUUCUUCCCCGCUGCCACCGUGCAACCAGCCGCUUGCCACCUCUUACUUGCAAAUCCGACGGUGGGUUUGUGUUCCCCACCCUCUGAAACCCAAGAACAGCUCAUCCUCUAGCCUUCAUCGUCUCCGACAGCUUUGGUGUAGUUUCACUAGAGCAGCACUUUUUCGGCCGCGAUCUGGCGUCCUCCAAGCGAGAGUUGGUCGUGAUUUCAGUGUUUUCGGACUCUCCAUACCUCAAGCUUCGCAUAAGCGUUUAUGGGUUCGAAUUCUGACACCGUUAUAUCCUGGAGUUUUCAGGAUGUGCAAAUUUUAGAUUUUGGGAGUCGGUAAAUUUUAUUUCAACCUUAAAAAUUUUAGAUGUAAUAAUAGAUAAUUUAAUUUAAUUUGAUUUAAUUAAUUGAUAAUUUAAUUAUAAAUCUUAUGAAUUUAUUAGUAUGAUUAGUUAUUAUUUUGUUUUGUGAUAAAUAUCGUUUUGAAUAAUUAAUUUAGAUACGAGCAAAUUACUUAUUAGAGUUGGUUGUAAAUUAAAUAUUUAUGCCGAGUAGAUAAAUAAUCUCUAUCUGAAUUGCGUUGCGAAAUUGAAAAAAAAUAAUGCAGUUCUGGUGGCACAGUCCCUGUUAAAUAAUUGGGGAAUUUUUGAAGUAUUUUUAGCAGGUUCUAGACCUGUUAUACGGAGCAUAAAUUUCUAUAUUUUAGAUGAGAUUUUGCCAAAUUUUUGGUAGAAUUUUUGAGUCGAAAUUCUUAGACAAUCAAUUCUAUGAAUUUAAGCCUAGGUUGUUGUUCCUGUGAAUAGAUAACCCGUCUAUCUAACCUGCCCCACCAGAGUCGUAGGAGCACAGCAAGAGGGUCGUCAGAACUGAUGAGAUUGCAGUAAAACAUACUACUUGAUGGGUUGCAUCAAGACCGCGUGCAUACUAGUAUAAAUCAAGAACAAAUAAUAAGAGAAUAUUUUUGUGAUGUGGCCUUGUCGAGUAUAACUCCCUGGGCUAUGGAAAUUUAAUUGCUAGAGGAAAGGUUCCUAGUCAAGCGUUCCUCUCUAGGCGCCAGCUACAUUAGAAAUUAAGUGUCCAGACUGGAUUUACGGACUCUAGUUGAGCUUCGCUCUCUGGGCGCCAGUAUCAUCAAAAUAAGAGAGCCGAUUGGCUAAUGGUAUUGGAGUCUAGAGUUCUGCUGAGUCUCAAUUUUAAUUUUUAGGUGACAGCUAGAUUUUCUGUCGUCUUUCUCCGGACAGACCGAUUUCUUUCUUCUUCGGGCCUAUUGUAAUUAAUUUCUUUUUUUUGUAUUUUAAAUUAUUUGCAAUCUAGACUCUUUGCAGCAAUGGAUUUGAAACUUUACACAUAUAUAUUUUUUUGGAUAUGUUAAAACUAAGAAAAUUAUUAAGUGAUCAUGUUGAUGGAGUUGAUCUAAUUAUGUGGUAACAUUGUGAAUGAUUUGUUAGUAUAUUUAAGU